rnacentral:rRNA from 1 species
CCUACGGGGGGCAGCAGUGAGGAAUAUUGGUCAAUGGACGAGAGUCUGAACCAGCCAAGUAGCGUGAAGGAUGACUGCCCUAUGGGUUGUAAACUUCUUUUAUAUGGGAAUAAAAUGUUCCACGUGUGGGAUUUUGUAUGUACCAUAUGAAUAAGGAUCGGCUAACUCCGUGCCAGCAGCCGAGGUAAUACGGAGGAUCCGAGCGUUAUCCGGAUUUAUUGGGUUUAAAGGGAGCGUAGGUGGAUUGUUAAGUCAGUUGUGAAAGUUUGCGGCUCAACCGUAAAAUUGCAGUUGAAACUGGCAGUCUUGAGUACAGUAGAGGUGGGCGGAAUUCGUGGUGUAGCGGUGAAAUGCUUAGAUAUCACGAAGAACUCCGAUUGCGAAGGCAGUUCACUGGACUGCAACUGACACUGAGGCUCGAAAGUGUGGGUAUCAAACAGGAUUAGAUACCCUAGUAGUC